CCUACGGGAGGCAGCAGUGGGGAAUAUUGGACAAUGGGGGGAACCCUGAUCCAGCCAUGCCGCGUGUGUGAAGAAGGCCCUCGGGUUGUAAAGCACUUUCAGUGAGGAAGAACGCCUGGUGGUUAAUACCCAUCAGGAAAGACAUCACUCACAGAAGAAGCACCGUCUAACUCCGUGCCAGCAGCCGCGGUAAUACGGAGGGUGCGAGCGUUAAUCGGAAUUACUGGGCGUAAAGCGCGCGUAGGUGGCUUGAUAAGCCGGUUGUGAAAGCCCCGGGCUCAACCUGGGAACGGCAUCCGGAACUGUCAAGCUAGAGUGCAGGAGAGGAAGGUAGAAUUCCCGGUGUAGCGGUGAAAUGCGUAGAGAUCGGGAGGAAUACCAGUGGCGAAGGCGGCCUUCUGGACUGACACUGACACUGAGGUGCGAAAGCGUGGGUAGCAAACAGGAUUAGAUACCCCUGUAGUC
rnacentral:rRNA from 1 species